rnacentral:rRNA from 1 species
UGUUCUAACGUGGACCCGUAAUCCGGGUUGCGGACAGUGUCUGGUGGGUAGUUUGACUGGGGCGGUCUCCUCCUAAAGAGUAACGGAGGAGCACGAAGGUUGGCUAAUCCUGGUCGGACAUCAGGAGGUUAGUGCAAUGGCAUAAGCCAGCUUGACUGCGAGCGUGACGGCGCGAGCAGGUGCGAAAGCAGGUCAUAGUGAUCCGGUGGUUCUGAAUGGAAGGGCCAUCGCUCAACGGAUAAAAGGUACUCCGGGGAUAACAGGCUGAUACCGCCCAAGAGUUCAUAUCGACGGCGGUGUUUGGCACCUCGAUGUCGGCUCAUCACAUCCUGGGGCUGAAGUAGGUCCCAAGGGUAUGGCUGUUCGCCAUUUAAAGUGGUACGCGAGCUGGGUUUAGAACGUCGUGAGACAGUUCGGUCCCUAUCUGCCGUGGGCGCUGGAGAACUGAGGGGGGCUGCUCCUAGUACGAGAGGACCGGAGUGGACGCAUCACUGGUGUUCGGGUUGUCAUGCCAAUGGCACUGCCCGGUAGCUAAAUGCGGAAGAGAUAAGUGCUGAAAGCAUCUAAGCACGAAACUUGCCCCGAGAUGAGUUCUCCCUGAGACUUAGAGUCUCCUGAAGGAACGUUGAAGACGACGACGUUGAUAGGCCGGGUGUGUAAGCGCAGCGAUGCGUUGAGCUAACCGGUACUAAUGAACCGUGAGGCUUAACCUUACAAC